CAUUUGCUUUCCAUUUUAUCCCCAAUGAAAGUAAAAAAUUAUUCUACUUUCCUUUCUUCAUUCCUUCAGUCCGAGAAACCCAGAGUCUUUAGUUUUUGCACUCUGCUUUUCUAUUUUUCUUCAUCCCCCAGAAAACCCACAUACAAUCUCAUUAAGAAAAAAAAAAAAAAUCCAUGCUCCAUCUCCCUGCAUCUCUUACCUCUUCUCUUGCAAACAUAUGAAAGACUAAGGAAAAAUUGCGUUUGAAGUGAGCGGUAGUUGUGCAGAGGAGCUUUACUUGGAAAGUUUGCAGCAUCAAAUAGAAAGUGAUCUUAUGCCAAGUGCCCUAUGUGACCAAAGUGAUUCUUAUGGUAUCCUUUUAGUUAUAUGUUCUAUGGCGAAUUAUAUAAGUAAACUUUUUUUUUUAUUUUUUUUAUUUUUACAAUUAGUUAAUAUUUAAAAAAGAUGUUAUACCUACUAUAUGGACCAUGAGGUAUACUAUCUAUGUUGUUUAGUUUGCCCUAAUUUCUUUCUGUUUAGUUUUCAGCCAAGGUUGGAAUUUCUUAGGCUUGGCUGGUGGAACAUUAUUAAUUUUCAAGUUGAUUACAAAUAUGCAGUUGGGGAUAGGAUAGGUGAACUAUCUUAUACUUACUCCUAUUUUAUGAAUUUGAGGUUGGUUGCCGAGAUGUGGUAUUAGUUUGCUUGUGGUUUUGUAUUAUAGGCUAAUGGCACUCAAGACUUCCAUGAUAAACUGAUAUUUACAGAUUGAGAAACCCAUACUAUUGGUUACAAUUCCAAAAAUGUGCUUGAAAAUGCCUUAGGUCAGGUGCAUAUCGUUAUCCUUGUGCACUUGGUUAUGAGGUUGAUGUAGUGUCCCUCCUUAACAUAUUGAAGUUGUGGGUUUAUUUUUAUUUUUAUUUUUUUUUGUCUAUAAGUAAUAAUCGCUGCCCUCACACCCUUUCUGUGAAUUUCAUGUAACAAUUGGUGUAUUACUAAAGUGGAUAUCACGAUGGUCUCAUAGCAAGAGAAGAAGCUGUAGCACAAGAGGGAUUUAAUAAUGGCUUUAAGGAAUCAGUCUUUGUUGGGUACAAAUGGGGUCUAGUUAGAGGUGAUACCAGUUCCUGAGGACUUGAAAGAGAGCAUUUAAAUUCUCAAGAUGGUAACCAAACUCUCAAAGACAUGAAUUGCAUGGUUGCUUUUCAUAAGGGUUUGACAACGUGGGCUAAGUGGGUGGAUUCUACUAUGAAUCAUAGUAAAACCAAAGUCAUCUUCCAAGGAAUUUCUCUUACCCACUACCAUUAAGUUUACUUCUUUCCCAUCACCAAUUUUUUUUUUUUUUUGAAAACCAAAAAUUAAUUUCGUGAAUUUCUUUGAUGCUUUUUUUUUUCUUUCUUUUUUUUCCUUUUCAUAUUUAGUGGCAAGGGAUUGGAAUGAGCUAGGGGUGACAAACUGUGGAAAUGAGACAAAACUCCUUAGUGGAUCAGUCUAUCGAGGCAGAUUGCCCAAGGAAUUAUAUGUGGUGAAAGAUGUAUUAACUGGAAUGAGAAAACAUGUUCAUCUGCUGGACAUAACAACUUUAUCACAACUCAGAAAAGAUGCACAUCCUGGCUUUUAUAAUGGCUUUAGGUGCAUGGACUGUAACCAUUGGUGUAUUGCUGGACUCUUAGAUACUUGGAAUUAACUUUUUAUGCAUUUCUCAUAAUUGUUAUGCUUGUUCUGGUAUUUUUAGUUUAUAAAAAUGAUCAUACGGUUGCUUA